rnacentral:rRNA from 1 species
ACUCCUACGGGAGGCAGCAGUGGGGAAUCUUCCACAAUGGGCGAAAGCCUGAUGCAGCAACGCCGCGUGAACGAUGAAGAUCUUCAGAUCAUAAAAUUCUGUCGCAGGGGAAGAUAAUGACGGUACCCUGUGAGGAAGCACCGGCUAACUACGUGCCAGCAGCCGCGGUAAU